UUCUGAUAGUCAAUGCCCUCACACUGACUAUAACCUUUAGCCAUAAGCCUAGCUUUAUAGGUCUCUACCUUACCAUUGGCACCUAUCUUCUUUUUGUAGAUCCAUUUAUACCCAAUGGGUAUAAUACCCUCAGGUGGAUCCACUAAGGUUCAAACUUGGUUCGAGUAUAUCGAGUCAAUUUCUAACUUCAGAACAUCUAACCAGUUCUCGAAAUCGAUGUCAGACAUCGUCUCGUCAAAGAUGGUAGGGUCAUCACUAUGACCUCUAUCUCCCAUAAGGAACAUUUUCUUUACUUCCUCCAUAAGCAUACCCAUAUAUCUCUCAGG
rnacentral:lncRNA from 1 species